CCCAAGGAGUCGUCUUCGUAUGCGAGUGUUCGGGUGUCAAACCCCUACGCGUAAUGAAAGUGAACGCAGGUGAGAGCUUCGGCGCAUCAUCGACCGAUCCUGAUGUUCUCGGAUGGAUUUGAGUAAGAGCAUACGGGGCCGGACCCGAAAGAAGGUGAACUAUGCCUGUAUAGGGUGAAGCCAGAGGAAACUCUGGUGGAGGCUCGCAGCGGUUCUGACGUGCAAAUCGAUCGUCAAAUAUGGGCAUGGGGGCGAAAGACUAAUCGAACCUUCUAGUAGCUGGUUUCCGCCGAAGUUUCCCUCAGGAUAGCAGUGUUGAACUCAGUUUUAUGAGGUAAAGCGAAUGAUUAGGGACUCGGGGGCGCUAUUUAGCCUUCAUCCAUUCUCAAACUUUAAAUAUGUAAGAAGCUCUUGUUGCUUAAUUGAACGUGAGCAUUCGAAUGUAUCAACACUAGUGGGCCAUUUUUGGUAAGCAGAACUGGCGAUGCGGGAUGAACCGAACGCGAGGUUAAGGUGCCAGAGUAGACGCUCAUCAGACACCACAAAAGGUGUUAGUACAUCUUGACAGCAGGACGGUGGCCAUGGAAGUCGGAAUCCGCUAAGGACUGUGUAACAACUCACCUGCCGAAUGUACUAGCCCUGAAAAUGGAUGGCGCUCAAGCGUCUCACCCAUACCUCGCCCUCAGGGUAGAAACGAUGCCCUGAGGAGUAGGCGGACGUGGAGGUCAGUGACGAAGCCUAGGGCGUGAGCCCGGGUUGAACGGCCUCUAGUGCAGAUCUUGGUGGUAGUAGCAAAUACUUCAAUGAGAACUUGAAUCGGACCGAAGUGGGGAAAGGUUCCAUGUGAACAGCGGUUGGACAUGGGUUAGUCGAUCCUAAGCCAUAGGGAAGUUCCGUUUCAAAGGUGCACUUUGCACCGUCUGGCGAAAGGGAAGCCGGUCAAUAUUCCGGCACCUGGAUGUGGGUUUUGCGCGGCAACGCAACUGAACGUGGAGACGACGGCGGGGGCCCCGGGCAGAGUUCUCUUUUCUUCUUAACAGUCUCUCACCCUGAAAUCGGUUUGUCCGGAGCUAGGGUUUAAUGGCUGGAAGAGCCCAGCACCUCUGCUGGGUCCGGUGCGCUCUCGACGUCCCUUGAAAAUCCACGGGAGGAAAUAAUUCUCACGCCAGGUCGUACUCAUAACCGCAGCAGGUCUCCAAGGUGAACAGCCUCUGGUU
rnacentral:rRNA from 1 species